CGGAGGUCGAUUUCUUGAGUCCUAACUUAGGACUAGUCAUACGACUCUUUACGAGUUAUUAACAAUUUAAGGCUAGUCCUAAGUUAGGACGAGUAACUGUUCCAGAGGUCGAUUUCUUGAGUCCUAACUUAGGACUAGUCAUACGACUCUUUACGAGUUAUUAACAAUUUAAGGCUAGUCCUAAGUUAGGACGAGUAACUGUUCCGGAGGUCGAUUUCACAUAGAAAGUCCUAAUUAGGACUAGUCCUAGGACUCUUGGGGAUUUCAUGUGUAUUCAUUUUCUAUCGCAGCUGGAUUUUGAGUGAUUUCUAAAACUUUACCAUUUUGUAUCUUAAAACUAGACCAUGAAGUAUCUUAAAACUAGAUCAUGAAGUGUCUUAAAUCUAAACUAUGAAGUAAACUAGACCAUGAAGUAUCUUAAAACUAGAUCAUGAAGUGUCUUAAAACUAGAUCAUGAAGUGUCUUACAUCUAAACUAUGAAGUAUCUUAAAACUAGAUCAUGAAGUGACUUAAAACUAGAUCAUGAAGUGACUUAAAACUAGAUCAUGACGUGUCUUAAAACUAGACCAUGAAGUAUCUUAAAACUAAACCACGAAGUAUUCUAAAACUAGAUCAUGGAGGAUCUGUUUUACUGUUUUGAUCUCUUCCGCCUUUUGGCACAAGGUAUUUAUUUAGCUACAACACCACAAAGUGUUGUUUAUUUAUUUUUAAUUUUCCCCCAAAAUUUUUAUUGUUUGCAUCUUGGAACUAUUUUGCAUAUAUAUUAUUAAUGAUUGUUUUAUGAUGGUGACGGAUAUGAUAAAAAAUAAAGGAAAUCUAUUUUUGUA